UAAAAAUAAAAAGGUAAUACCCCAGGAGAAACCUUUGCUUAUUGACGGCCUCUUUUCUAACCAAAGGAACUUGUUAAAGGAUCGAAACUACCCGUUUAUUUUCUCUUUUCUUUAAAGCUCUUAUACCGUCGUCUUAAGGAAAAGCUUAAUGGGAGUCUCCAAAAUUAAUUUGUUAAUUAAGUCAGAUCAAGGUGAAGCCUAUAGGAAAGCACUCAAUGAGUUAUUCAUAAAAAAGAUUUAAGGAAAUCUGCGCAAACCCCCUUAAUUAAUUAAGAUUUGAAAGUACAUCUUCAUCAGAAUUGCAAGUGGAAUUUGAAAAAAAAGGUGU
rnacentral:rRNA from 1 species